rnacentral:tRNA from 1 species
CUGUGGGUAGCGUAAACAGUUAACGCACUUGGCUGCUAACCAAAAGGUUAGAGAUUCAAGUCCACCCAGAGG